GAUGAACGCUGGCGGCGUGCCUAAUACAUGCCAGUCGAGCGAACAGAUGAGGAGCUUGCUCCUCUGACGUUAGCGGCGGACGGGUGAGUAACACGUGGAUAACCUACCUAUAAGACUGGGAUAACUUCGGGAAACCGGAGCUAAUACCGGAUAAUAUAUUGAACCGCAUGGUUCAAUAGUGAAAGACGGUUUUGCUGUCACUUAUAGAUGGAUCCGCGCCGCAUUAGCUAGUUGGUAAGGUAACGGCUUACCAAGGCGACGAUGCGUAGCCGACCUGAGAGGGUGAUCGGCCACACUUGAACUGAGACACGGUCCAGACUCCUACGGGAGGCAGCAGUAGGGAAUCUUCCGCAAUGGGCGAAAGCCUGACGGAGCAACGCCGCGUGAGUGAUGAAGGUCUUCGGAUCGUAAAACUCUGUUAUUAGGGAAGAACAAAUGUGUAAGUAACUAUGCACGUCUUGACGGUACCUAAUCAGAAAGCCACGGCUAACUACGUG
rnacentral:rRNA from 1 species